GGGUAACAGGGUGGCACAGUGGUUAGAGUGUCGGGCUACAGCCUGGGAGACUAGGGUUCAAAUCUCCAGUUGGCCA